GCGAGAGUGGCGGAACUGGCAGACGCGCUGGACUUAGGAUCCAGUGGGGCAACCCAUGGGGGUUCAACUCCCCCCUCUCGCACCA
rnacentral:tRNA from 1 species